UACGUAGGGUGCAAGCGUUUAAUCGGAAUUACUGGCGUAAAGCGUGCGCAGGCGGUUUUGUAAGUCAGAUGUGAAAUCCCCGGGCUUAACCUGGGAACUGCGUUUGAAACUACAAGGCUAGAGUGUGGCAGAGGGGGGUGGAAUUCCACGUGUAGCAGUGAAAUGCGUAGAGAUGUGGAGGAACACCGAUGGCGAAGGCAGCCCCCUGGGUUAACACUGACGCUCAGGCACGAAAGCGUGGGGAGCAACAGG
rnacentral:rRNA from 1 species